rnacentral:rRNA from 1 species
ACUACAUGAAGCUGGAAUCGCUAGUAAUCGCGGAUCAGAAUGCCGCGGUGAAUACGUUCCCGGGUCUUGUACACACCGCCCGUCACACCAUGGGAGUCGGAAAUGCCCGAAGUCAGUAGUCCAACCUCGUGAGGACGCUGCCGAAGGUAGGAUUGGCGACUGGGGUGAAGUCGUAACAAGGUAGC